UCCGGUUUGUCACCGGCAGUCUCCCUAGAGUGCCUUUGCGUAGCAACUAGGGACAAGGGUUGCGCUCGUUGCGGGACUUAACCCAACAUCUCACGACACGAGCUGACGACAGCCAUGCGGCACCUGUGUUCCGGUUCCCUUUCAGGCACACCCGCCUUUCAGCAGGCUUCCAGACAUGUCAAGGGUAGGUAAGGUUGUUCGCGUUGCAUCGAAUUAAUCCACAUCAUCCACCGCUUGUGCGGGUCCCCGUCAAUUCCUUUGAGUUUUAACCUUGCGGCCGUACUCCCCAGGCGGCUCACUUCACGCGUUAGCUACGGUACCAGGAAAUCGCUUCCCCAACACCUAGUUGCCAUCGUUUAGGGCGUGGACUAC
rnacentral:misc_RNA from 1 species